rnacentral:lncRNA from 1 species
GUUGAAUCUCGUAUUUUGAUGAUGAAACUACUUGAUAUAUGUUUAUGAUUUAAUCUGCGUUUUGAGUGACGCAGGGUGCUUCGAUCAGGAUGAGACAAUUAAAGCAGGAACAUCAUGUUGUGCCGGAGGAACAUGUCAGAAGAUUGGACGUCGGGCCGGUGGAUCGGUCGAUGUAUCGACAGAAGGCUUCGGGUCGUGGACUCGGGCAUCGGGCCAAGAAGAGCGGG